rnacentral:rRNA from 1 species
GACGAACGCUGGCGGCGUGCUUAACACAUGCAAGUCGAACGGAAAGGCCCUGCUUUUGUGGGGUGCUCGAGUGGCGAACGGGUGAGUAACACGUGAGUAACCUGCCCUUGACUUUGGGAUAACUUCAGGAAACUGGGGCUAAUACCGGAUAGGAGCUCCUGCUGCAUGGUGGGGUUGGAAAGUUUCGGCGGUUGGGGAUGGACUCGCGGCUUAUCAGCUUGUUGGUGGGGUAGUGGCUUACCAAGGCUUUGACGGGUAGCCGGCCUGAGAGGGUGACCGGGCACAUUGGGACUGAGAUACGGCCCAGACUCCUACGGGAGGCAGCAGUGGGGAAUAUUGCACAAUGGGCGGAAGCCUGAUGCAGCAACGCCGCGUGCGGGAUGACGGCCUUCGGGUUGUAAACCGCUUUCGCCUGUGACGAAGCGGGAGUGACGGUAAUGGGUAAAGAAGCACCGGCUAACUACGUG